UUUUGGGGUUUCAUACCCUCAGGAUAACAUUUACAAUCAUUACUCAUCUCAAUCGGUCCAAACCCUAGCCCCUGAUGCCUUUGCCUCUCGACUCGGCCUCUGAAUGCUCCAAAUCUAUCCAAAAGCAUAUUCAUACCAUCAAAAUAUGCUAAGGGAACAAAGCCCAUUCGAAAAUAUUCAAUUUAUACCAAAAAUUCCGAAAUUGGUCAAACCCGGCCCCGGGCCCACGUCUCGGAUUCUGAUAAAAAUAACAAAACUAGAAUCCUUACACUCACUAGUUCAUACAUACCAAGAACAUCCAAAUCGGACAUAUAUGGCCCAUUCAAAUCCCCAAAAGAAUCCUCAAACUUUUCUUUUAUUUUCCCCCAAUUUCCACUCUAAUUUCUCAAAUUAAAUGAUGAAAUUCAAGACUAAAUCAUGGAACUAAACCAAAUAUGAAUAAAGAAUACUUACUCCAAUAGCUCCACUAAAAAUCUCCUCAAAUUUCACCUUCUCCCGAGCUCUCCAAUGGUUUUUGCGAUAUUGAACUUAAACCCUCGAUUUUAAACUUAAACAUUCUGCGCAGAUUUUUCCUUCAUCGUGAUCGCGAAUAUUUUCUCGCGAUCACAAAGCAUAAAAGGAUUACCCCUUAUCUGGCUUAGUUAAAUUGUUUAAUUACUCAUUUUAGAACCUAUGUGCAUUUUACCUUUUACCGCUUUUAAAUAAGAAAUUAUCCUAAAACGAGUUAUGCGUACAUGUACUCAUUUCAUUUGGCGUGUCAUGAAUCAUGUUACACGUACGUGUACACAAUUAAUCACGCUUUAUUAUUAUUAAGACUAUUUUGCCAAAGUCACGCGAACGUGUACUCCGGUUUUAAUUUGGAAAAAUCAUAAUUAUGUUAUGCGAAUGUAUACACAAUCACGAUAAUAAUUUUAAACGUGCCUAAAAGCAUUUUUAUGAUUUUCAAAGAUUAUUUAUAAGCCAUAUUCAAGUCAAAUUGCCUUAAUAAUUCCUCCUUCCCAUCAUAAAUAUAAGAAAGGUAUUACAAGAAGAAAAAGGAAAGUGGGGAGGAGAAGAUAUAAAAAUCAGAAGUUUGCUAUAUUUUUAAUAUGUUCAGUUAUAAUUUAUAAAAUAAGUGAAAUUUUGUGGGCAAUGUCCAAAGAUUGUGAGUAUUUCCUUAGUUUCUCUGCAAGUAAAAAAACUAAGAUACAAAUAGCAACCAGUGUCACAUAAAAAUGCCGCAAGCUACAAUCCCUGGUAACAACAAACAAAGAAGACCUACAAUCACACUACUUAUCAAAAAAAUUCUAAGGGAGGUUGCAUUUUAGUGAUAGCUCACCAGUACAAUCAAAAAUUGUAGUAGCAAUUUUACUUGGCAAUGUUGAUGAUUUUUAUUGAGCAUUUGUGUUCAACUUGAAUAGCAACAAGUUUGUCUACUGUCAUUCUAUAUAGAAAACUCGUCAAAAAGCUAAUUUCAGCAAAACCGAACUUUAAUUUCACUUAAAACCCCAAACAAUCCACUCAUUAACAACUGUAAUUUUCAAAUUCCCAAAAAAACUCUUAAAACUUUUAUUGAACAAUAUAAGACAGUAACAAAUCCAAACUUAAUCUUGCGAAACAAAUAAAUAAUUAGAUUGAGAUAUCUAAGCUCCAUAAAAUGUACUAGAAUGUCAUGCCAUCGAAUAAUUACAAAACAAUUGAUUAACACAGUCAAUGGAUGAACAAACAGUGAAGAGGGGAAAAAAAGAGGACCUGAAGUACUUUCAAUUUUUCAAAGAACCUCCUGCCCGUUUACAAAGAAACUCAGGCCGAUGAAGCUAAACACGGACAGACCCGAACGGAAACCUCAACGAAACAACCUCGAUAUCGACCGCAUCUCAGUCAUGACGAACCCAAAAACGUUUAGCAGUAGAUUCAGCAAUCGAACAAUACUUCUACAGCUCAAAUGUCACUCAAAUUUCAGAAAAUCUUAAGUAUAAGAGUGGAAGUUUGGAUAGCUUUCGAAUCCUCCUUUUUGUCUCUGUUUUGUUUUUUUAAAAGCUCUUUUUGAAUUUCAGAUCUAGACUUGAUUUCUAGAAAUGGUUCCAGUUCUUUAUUGGCUAAAGUGAGAUAUGCAUGAAGGAGUAUUGCGUGUGUGUGUGUGUGUGGUCGUGGUGGUGGGAGGUUGGUUUCCGGCGAGCUCUGGUGAGAAUGGGGAGAAGAAGAGGAAGAUGUGAGGGCUCUUUCUAUCUUCUUUUUGUUCCCGUCAGGUGGAAACGACUGGGUUCGAUUCUCAGAAAAUAGUCGCCGCUGCUUCUCUCUGUCGAAAGAGAUGAGAGCUCAUUUUUUAGUUUUUAGGGUUUUUUUCUUCCUUUUUGCUUCAGCUGCCGCACUGCUCUCUCAAUGAGGGGUUUGGAUGAAGGGUUCUUUU
rnacentral:lncRNA from 1 species